GACGAACGCUGGCGGCGUGCUUAACACAUGCAAGUCGAACGGAAAGGCCCUGCUUUUGUGGGGUGCUCGAGUGGCGAACGGGUGAGUAACACGUGAGUAACCUGCCCUUGACUUUGGGAUAACUUCAGGAAACUGGGGCUAAUACCGGAUAGGAGCUCCUGCUGCAUGGUGGGGGUUGGAAAGUUUCGGCGGUUGGGGAUGGACUCGCGGCUUAUCAGCUUGUUGGUGGGGUAGUGGCUUACCAAGGCUUUGACGGGUAGCCGGCCUGAGAGGGUGACCGGCCACAUUGGGCCUGAGAUACGGCCCAGCCUCCUACGGGAGGCAGCAGUGGGGAAUAUUGCACUAUGGGCGGAAGCCUGAUGCAGCAACGCCGCGUGCGGGAUGACGGCCUUCGGGUUGUAUACCGCUUUCGCCUGUGACGAAGCGUGAGUGACGGUAAUGGGUAAAGAAGCACCGGCUAACUACGUG
rnacentral:rRNA from 1 species